rnacentral:rRNA from 1 species
UGAGUACGAGAUGCUACGGCAUCGAAGCAGUCUAUGUCAUACUUCCAAGAAAAGCUUGCACUGUCAUAAACAAAGAAUGCCUGUACCAUAACCGACACAGGUGGGUAGGUAGAGUAUACUAAGGGGCGCGAGAUAACUCUCUCUAAGGAACUCGGCAAAAUGACUCCGUAACUUCGGGAGAAGGAGUGCCUUAUUUCUAAGGUUGCAAUAACAAGAUCCAAGCAACUGUUUACCAAAAACACAGGUCUCCGCUAAGUCGUAAGACGAUGUAUGGGGGCUGACGCCUGCCCAGUGCCAGAAGGUUAAAGAAGUUGGUUAGCAUUAGCGAAGCUGAUAACUGAAGCCCUGGUGAACGGCGGCCGUAACUAUAACGGUCCUAAGGUAGCGAAAUUCCUUGUCGGGUAAGUUCCGACCCGCACGAAAGGCGUAAUGAUUUGGAUACUGUCUCGGAGAGGGGCUCGGUGAAAUAGACUUGUCUGUGAAGAUGCGGACUACCUGCACCUGGACAGAAAGACCCUAUGAAGCUUUACUGUAACUUGAGAUUGAAAUUGGACUUUAUUUGCGCAGUAUAGGUGGGAGGCGUUGAGAAUAAUCUUGCGGGAUUGUUGGAGCCAUCAGUGAGAUACCACUCUUGUAAUGUUAGAUUUCUAACUUUGUAUCAUUAUCUGGUCAAAGAACAGUUUCAGGCGGGCAGUUUGACUGGGGCGGUCGCCUCCCAAAGGGUAACGGAGGCGCACAAAGGUUUCCUCUGAACGGGUAGAAAUCGUAUCUAGAGUGUAAAGGCAUAAGGAAGCUUGACUGUGAGACCUACAAGUCGAGCAGGGACGAAAGUCGGUCUUAGUGAUCUGACGGUGCUGAGUGGAAAGGCCGUCACUCAACGGAUAAAAGUUACUCUAAGGAUAACAGGCUGAUCUCCCCCAAGAGUUCACAUCGACGGGGAGGUUUGGCACCUCGAUGUCGGCUCAUCGCAUCCUGGGGCGGUAGUCCGUCCCAAGGGUUGGGCUGUUCGCCCAUGAAAGCGGUACGCGAGCUGGGUUCAGAACGUCGUGAGACAGUUCGGUCCAUAUCCGGUGUAGGCGUUAGAAUAUUGAGAGGAGCCUUCUCUAGUACGAGAGGACCGAGAAGGACAUACCUCUGGUGUACCAGUUAUCGUGCCAACGGUAAACGCUGGGUAGCUAUGUAUGGAGUGGAUAACCGCUGAAAGCAUCUAAGUGGGAAGCCCACCUCAAGAUAAGUAUUC